rnacentral:rRNA from 1 species
CAGAGGGGGCAAGCGUUAUUCGGAAUUAUUGGGCGUAAAGGGCGCGUAGGCGGCUUUUCAAGUGACGGGUGAAAUCCCCCGGCUUAACCGGGGAACCGCCUGUCAGACUGAAUGGCUUGAGACCAGGAGAGGUGAGUGGAAUUCCCAGUGUAGCGGUGAAAUGCGUAGAUAUUGGGAGGAACACCAGUGGCGAAGGCGGCUCACUGGACUGGUACUGACGCUGAGGCGCGAAAGCGUGGGGAGCAAACAGGAUUAGAUACCCUGGUAGUCCACGCCGUAAACGAUGAGUGCUUGGUGUAGCGGGUAUCGACCCCUGCUGUGCCGAAGUCAACACAUUAAGCACUCCGCCUGGGGAGUACGGUCGCAAGGCUG